rnacentral:siRNA from 1 species
ACUAAUUGGCGAAAAAUGUGUGG